rnacentral:rRNA from 1 species
CCUACGGGGGGCAGCAGUGAGGAAUAUUGGUCAAUGGACGAGAGUCUGAACCAGCCAAGUAGCGUGAAGGAUGACUGCCCUAUGGGUUGUAAACUUCUUUUAUAUGGGAAUAAAAUGUUCCACGUGUGGGAUUUUGUAUGUACCAUAUGAAUAAGGAUCGGCUAACUCCGUGCCAGCAGCCGCGGUAAUACGGAGGAUCCGACCGGUAUCCGGAUUUAUUGGGUUGAAAGGGAGCGUAGGUGGAUUGUUAAGUCAGUUGUGAAAGUUUGCGGCUCAACCGUAAAAUUGCAGUUGAAACUGGCAGUCUAGAGUACAGUAGAGGUGGGCGGAAUUCGUGGUGUAGCGGUGAAAUGCUUAGAUAGCACGAAGAACUCCGAUUGCGAAGGCAGCUCACUGGACUGAAACUGACACUGAGGCUCGAAAGUGUGGGUAUCAAACAGGAUUAGAUACCCUUGUAGUC